AGUUCUGGGUGGCAGUGAUUCUGGGGAUGACUGGGUCCUACCAUCAGGUUCAUACAGCUGGCAUCAGGCAGGACACACUGGAACUCAUGAGAACACCUGGAACUUAUACACACCAGAGAAGCCAUUUGCAUUUCUGCUGGGAUGGGAUCAGGAGCAUGGGUGGAAGGCAUCAGGAUAUCCAUGGACUAGAUUAGCACAGCAGGUGUUUAGGGGCAGAGCCAUAUGCAAAUCUCCAAGAGACCACAGAGCAGAAAGCUGAGGCUCCUCUGACACACACAGCAAGGGACUGCCCAGCUGUCUCACAGAGACACUCAGCCCAAAUCCCCACACCAUGGAGUGGACAUGGAGGCUCCUUUUCCUGCUGGCAGCUGCCACAGGUUCCUUCUCCCAGGUGCAGCUGGUACAAUCUGGACCUGAGCUAAAGAAGCCUGGAGAGGUUGUGAGGGUCUCCUGCAAGGCUUCUGGAUACACUUUUACUAGCUAUGGUAUGAACUGGAUAAGGCAGGAGCCAGGAAGUGGCCUGCAGUGGAUGGGAUGGAUCAACACUAACAAUGGAAAUCCAACAUAUGCUGAGGGCUUCAAAGGACGGGCUGUCUUCUCCCUGGACGCCUCUGUCAGCACAGCAUAUCUGCAGAUGAGCAGCCUGAAGGUCGAGGACACGGCUGUGUAUUAUUGUGCAAGGCACAGUGUGGAAACCACAUCCGGAAGGUGUCAGAAACUCUUACAGAGAAGCUGGUUCUGCCGCACUACACAGGAGCACUAG